rnacentral:tRNA from 1 species
GAGGGCAUAGCUCAGUGGUAGAGUGUGUGCUUAGCAUGCACAAAGUCCUGGGUUCAAUCCCCAGUACCUCUA